UACGGGGGGGGCAAGCGUUGUUCGGAAUUACUGGGCGUAAAGGGCUCGUAGGCGGCCAACUAAGUCGGAUGUGAAAUCCCCAGGCUUAACCUGGGAACUGCAUCCGAUACUGGAUGGCUUGAAUCCGGGAGAGGGAUGCAGAAUUCCAGGUGUAGCGGUGAAAUGCGUAGAUAUCUGGAGGAAUACCGGUGGCGAAGGCGGCAUCCUGGACCGGCAUUGACGCUGAUGAGCGAAAGCCAGGGGAGCAAAGCGGG
rnacentral:rRNA from 1 species